rnacentral:lncRNA from 1 species
CCUCCAUUGAGCCAUCCGAAAUUUGAGAGAGAGAGAGAGAGAGACUUGAGAGCACUCCAUUUCCUCCUCCGUCUUGCUCUUGAAGAUCACUUGGAAAACCAUCAACCACCAUAUUUUUCUUCUUCUUCUUCUCUUCUUGUUGAGCCGAGAGAGAGAGAGAGAGAGAGAGAGAGAGAGAGAGAGAGAGAGAGAGAGAGUUCGGGAGAGAGAGAGAGACCAAAAGAGAAGGGACACUAUCCAUCUUGUUUCUUGAAGAGUUGUGGAAGAAAUCACCAAAUAACCUAGAAGAUCUUUGAACUUUCUUUAGGAAACUUGAAGGGGUGAAACUUGGAAGGAAGUUAUGAGGUUGAAUCACACUAGAUCUAGUUAGAUCUUGAGGUAAGAACCGAAAAUCACCCUUAAUUUUUAAUUUCUAGCCAUGAAAAUAUUAGAUUCUCUUGAUUUAAGUAAGAUCUAUGGUAGAUCUAGUAAAUUUCUGGAAGUUAUACCACUAAAUGUUCCAGUGAUUAAAAUACUAGCAUAACUCUUAAUUUGUUGGUUGGAUUCACUUGAAAAUUUUUCAUUGAUAACCAAGGGUUAAUGAUUGAUGAAACCCUUAGGGAUUUGAGUGAGUUUUUGUUGGUUAAAUGAUUAUUUUGUUGCCGAAAUUCUUGAGAAAUUUUCGGCUGAACUAGCCGAAUGUAGAGGGUUAAUUUUCAACCUUCAUUUUCGACAUUUUUGUGUUUUUUUUGACUAAAUUUCACUCAAGUGACUUGGUAUUAGGUUAAACUAUGAUUAUAUGUUGAAUUGGAGUUGAAAGUUAGGAGUUUUAAUGGUUAAAAGUCAUUUUUAUUUCACUAUUUUUGGGGAAAAAACUAUCCGGACAGCAAUGGUGAACUCGAGACUGUUUUGCCCUUGAUUUUGUGUUUUUCACGCGUCGAAUUUUGGGAAAAACUAUUCUAGAUACAUAUUAUUUUCAUAACUUGAGCUUAUAUGUUGAGUUUAAGUGAAUUUGGUUUAGUUUCGCUAAUUGUUGGGGCGAAACUUAUUGUCUCUCUUUACGUGUUUAUGGGAGUGAUUGAAGACUGUGAUACUGAUCCUAAUUUGGAUUCUAAACUUUGAUUUAUUGGUGAGUUUUCAUGUAUGUUAUCUGUCUUGAAUUGGCAAAUGUGACAUAGAUGUGAACUUGAUGUUGUGACUGUGAUGAAUAAUGUUUUGAAUUAUUGAAGUGUUGUGAUGUCACCUGAGUUGUUAUCCCAUCGACGAUUAGUGAUUGAUUGUGCAUGUUAAUUCUUGGAAAUUCCUAAGUCCUAUAGGUAAGUCUGUCGAUUCGAGCUAGUCAUGGGACUUGGUCGAAGAGAUUUGACGAGCCAUAGGAGAGUGUUUUAUAUUCAUUGGAUUUGGCGUUUAGACUUGUCCCUUUUAAAGUGAAAACUACGGUAUGCUCGAACAAUACCCAUUUUAAGUGUUUUGGAUUUCGGGCCCAGUAGGGGGAGUAGUUGGAAGGAGAAUGAAGUAAGUGAAAUUCUACAUAGUGAUAAAACUUGAAAGUCGACGGAGUGUCAACUACGUGAAAUAAGAUCAAGAUUUGUGGAAAUUGGCUCCUGAGAGCCACCCGUAUCCUACUCCCUUGAUAAUGUUAAUCGCUUUAUUUACUCACUUUGAAUUUUGAACUUGAAGUGUAAUUUGAACUGCUUUAUGUGACUGUAUGCCUUUUUGGAGCUUGCUGGGCGUUAGCUCAUUCCUUCAAAAUUUUUUUCCUUUACAGGAAUUGAGAACCCGAGCGAAGCCGUUGUCCGUUACGGUGUGAUCUUGUUUCUUUUGUUUCUUGUUUUGGGUUGUUAAACUUUGAAUUCGAUAUUUUGGAAGCUUAUAAGACGAACUCUGAUUUCAUCUUAAGUACGUUGGAUCGUAUUUUGUUAGUUGGAUUGUAAAUUGAAUUUAGUUAUGUUAUAAGUUGUGAAAUUGUUAUUUUAAGUACUUUGGAAGUAUUUUAUUCGAUCG